ACCUGGCAAGCUUGAAAAACCUACUACCUUUGUAAUACUAGCCCAAUGCUCUGCCAACUGAGCUACACGGGCAGGUUGGUUCGAGUAUGUGAUAUUUCAGAACCGAAUCUAGUUCCUUCGAUAUCAAUGUAAUCUAGUAAUUAGCCUACAAAUCCUUGCAUGGUAACUACCUGGUUUGUUAUAGAAAAACAAAGCAGGGCCAGGCGAACUAAACCUUAUUUGGAAAGGCACUAGUUGGAUCAUAAGUCCUUUCACUUCAUGCUUUUCAUUAAUGUGGACAAUUAUUUCUCAUGUGUGCAUGAACUCAUUGAAAUCAUUGCAAUCUGCAAAUUGUGCGUCUUUAUGACCUCCAAAUAUUUUUUGUAUUGCUUGUCAUGUUACUCUGAGUGUAUAUAUGCCUGGCCACGGUGGCAAACGAAUCUACGACCUUUGGAAUGCUAUAGUUCAAUGCUUUGCCAAUUGAUGUGCCUGUUCUAAGAGAGAGAAUUUGAAAAUGCCACAGUGUGGGUCUCCCUUCCAAAUCGUGCUUCUUUCAUUAUUGAUUAUGUCACUAAGCCAAUAUAUAGUUGUAUAUUUGUUGAGUACUGAAUCUAGAGAACUCUAUAUAGUGCAUUAAUAUUUUAAAAUUAUACAAAGAAAUUAAUUAUUAUUCAAGGACGUUAAUUCCCCUGACCUCAAUGAGGACGGAAAAUCAACUGAGUUGAUUUCGAAAAACAAAGAGAUGAAAUCUAGACACUUUAAACUGUUCCUUUGUCGCUUUCGUCACUCCUUCCGAAAUUACUUUUAGUUUUGUUGGCUCUAUUCCAAUGCGAUUUAAUCGACAUAAAAACAAGUUAAUUAUCAUGCUAUAGAGAGAUUUAUAGAUUUGUAUACGCUCAGUCGUUAACUACGAUCUCCUUAUUAAAGAACGGAAUGGCUGAACUUCAGUGCUUAUAUACGUAUGUUAUUUCCAUGCA